AUGCAAUUGAAACAAGUUCUUGCUAAUGGAAAAAAGGGAGGGUUGAAUGUAGGUGCUGUUCUUAUUUUCCCCGAGGGAUUCGAAUUAGCGCCGCCCGAUCAUAUUUCCCCUGAUUAUCGUCCCGAUAAAAAAAACAUUCUUGUGAUAGGCCCUGUUCCCGGUAAGAAAUAUAGUGAAAUUGUCUUUCCCAUUCUUUCCCCUGAUCCUGCUACGAAGAAAGAUGCUCAUUUCUUAAAAUAUCCCAUAUAUGUAGGGGGAAACCGAGGAAGAGGACAGAUCUAUCCUGAUGGUAGCAAGAGUAACAAUACAGUCUAUAAUGCUACGUCAACAGUUGAUGCAUCAGAUGGACGCCAAGUGAUUGAUAUUAUACCUCCCGGACCAGAACUUCUUGUUUCAGAGGGGGAAUCCAUCAAGCUUGAUCAACCAUUAACAAGCAAUCCUAAUGUGGGAGGUUUUGGUCAGGGGGACGCAGAAAUCGUGCUUCAGGAUCCAUUACGUGUCCAAGGCCUUUUGUUCUUCUUCGCAUCCAUUAUUUUGGCACAAGUUUUUUUGGUUCUCAAAAAGAAACAGUUUGAAAAGGUUCAAUUGUACAAAAUGAAUUUCUAG
rnacentral:rRNA from 1 species